CGGCGAACGGGUGAGUAACGCGUGGGUAACCUGCCCUAAAGUCUGGGAUAACAGCCCGAAAGGGUUGCUAAUACCGGAUGUGAUUGUCAGAAGUGCGCUUUUGACAAUUAAAGAUUUAUCGCUUUAGGAUGGGCCCGCGUCCCAUUAGCUAGUUGGUAGGGUAAUGGCCUACCAAGGCGACGAUGGGUAGCCGGCCUGAGAGGGUGACCGGCCACACUGGGACUGAGACACGGCCCAGACUCCUACGGGAGGCAGCAGUAGGGAAUUUUGCGCAAUGGGGGAAACCCUGACGCAGCGACGCCGCGUGGGUGAAGAAGGCCUUCGGGUCGUAAAACCCUGUCCUCUGGGAAGAAACGGACGGUACCAGAGGAGGAAGCCCCGGCUAACUACGUGCCAGCAGCCGCGGUAAUACGUAGGGGGCGAGCGUUGUCCGGAAUUACUGGGCGUAAA
rnacentral:rRNA from 1 species